UCGCCUCUCGACUCACAUGAGAGGUCCAGCCUGCCCAGUGACACCCAUUUAACGGCCGCGGUAUCCUAACCGUGCGAAGGUAGCGUAAUCAUUUGUCUUUUAAAUGAAGACUAGUAUGAAAGGCAUCACGAGGGCCUAACUGUCUCCUUUUUCUAAUCAGUGAAACUAAUCUCCCCGUGAAGAAGCGUGGAUUUUACUAUAAGACGAGAAGACCCUAUGGAGCUUUAAACUUUACAACAUCUGCUUACACCUCUUCCACUUCCAGAAGAUUACCCCCCUCCUAGCAUUCUGUUUGUGAGCUUUCGGUUGGGGCGACCCCGGAGAAUAAUCGAUCCUCCGCAAUGAAUAGUACUUCACACUUAGCAAUAAGCUACAGCUUUAAGCAACAGUAAACUGACAUACAUUGACCCAAAAUUUGAUCAACGAACCAAGUUACCCUAGGGAUAACAGCGCUAUCCACUUUGGAAAGUCCCUAUCGGACAAGUGGGCUUACGACCUCGGAUGUUGGGAUCAGGGUAUCCCGGUGGUGCAGGCCGCUACCGUAAGGUUCGUUUGUUCAACGAUUAAACCCUACGUGAUCUGG
rnacentral:rRNA from 1 species